rnacentral:rRNA from 1 species
UGAGUAACCUGCCCUUAACUCUGGGAUAAGCCUGGGAAACUGGGUCUAAUACCGGAUAUGACUCCUCAUCGCAUGGUGGGGGGUGGAAAGCUUUAUUGUGGUUUUGGAUGGACUCGCGGCCUAUCAGCUUGUUGGUGAGGUUUACGGCUCACCAAGGCGACGACGGGUAGCCGGCCUGAGAGGGUGACCGGCCACACGUGGGACUGAGACACGGCCCAGACCUCCGUACGGGAGGCAG